AGGAGGAACAACCCCAGUGGCGGGGCCAGCUCUGGAGCCCUGGAUUCAGCUCCGGCAGGAACUCCAGAACUCUCCGUCUGCAGGGCCUGGAAACUGGGGAAUUGG
rnacentral:pre_miRNA from 1 species